AUGGCCGACGCCCACGACGCACCGCUGGUGCGCCUCUCGUGCUUCCACGGCGACGACAGGUGGACGGACUUCGUCCGUGGCAGGUGGGCGGCGGACCCGUGCGCCCCCAUCGAGGCCGCCUACGUCGACGCCGUUGGCCGGCUCCCCGUCCACGAGAUGCCAGACCUCUUCGACUGCCUCUACCGCGGCGGGCACUGCGUCGGCCUCCUCGACCCCGCCUCCAACGUCAUCCUCAACGGCCUCACCCUCCUCUGCCGUCGCCGCAGCGGCGCCUACUCGCCGCCGGAGGAGGACCGCUUCCCGCCACCGCCGGAUCCUCGGCAUGUGAGCAACUGGGGGUCCAUCGCCUUCAGAUCUUACAAUGGCCUCCGCGCCUUCAUGCACACGUACUUCCGGUACCUCAACGAUGACCAAGCUCGGUUCUACCUCCACCUCUCCGGCGGGGACCUCCUCGUCGCCAUCCGGAUCGCCGAGCUCGAGCAGUUGGCCGCCGUCGAAGGGGCCGUUGAUCAGGCCACCGUCGGCCGCCACCCAGACCUCCUCCGCGAACGAGCCCAGUUCGCUCUCGCCGUUGCUGCCAUCAAAGCAAAGCACCCCAUGCCCGACGACCUCCUGCUGCUCUGCCAGCCAGCGCUCCAGGAGACGGCCGACGACAUGAAAGACGUCCUCGCCACCUUGGAGGAAGGGCGGCGCCUCACCGUCCAUGACGUCGAGGCCAUCCUCGGCGUUCUAAAAUCGCAGCUGCGCCAUCGCACGGUCUGCUCCCGUCUGCAACUCACCUUCACACAACGAGGACGCGGCGAGACCUUGCAUUACCGCCUCAACGGCCAACAUGGAGGAGGCCUGCAGUUCCAGCAGUGCGCGCCAUUCAGCCUCGCCAGCCUGCGCUCUCCCGAGGCCGUGCGGCGCAAGCUCGAAUCCAGCCUCGCGCUCAUCCCCGAGCACACUCCGCACACGCCGGCGGAGGUGGCCGACGCGCCCCCGACAUGCGGGCACAUCGAGUACCUCAAGACGGGGCUCCUGGACGUCAUCCACGCCAUGUACGUCGAGGCGCUCGCCAGCUUGCCCCGCGCCGCGCUCCGGCGUGUCCUCCGCGGCAUCCUAGUCGCCGGGCACUGCUACGGCCCCAUGGACCCCGCGUCCAACAUCAUCAUCCAUGCCGCUUGGUACAGCGUCAUCGCGCCCCCGUUGCGCCCCAGCAUCGAGCCGGACGUGCUCGGCGUAGACGCCCUGCUUCGCCUCGAGGUCCACUCCCUCGACGGCCUCGUCGCCGCCGUCCGUGUCGCCACUGGCUUCUCAGAGCACCAGGCCGUGGAGCACCUCAGCACCAACCGCUGCGACAUAUCUGACAUGCUUCGGAGGGCGGCGCCGGAGACACGCGGCCAAGCCUUUUAUCGUGCCAGCGAGGCCGCCAGACACCCCCUCGGAGAGCACCACUCGUCGUUCCUCGCAUCCCUGGCCUCCUCAGGGCCGAAAUUUCUGGACACCUUGAGCUCCUUGCUGCGCUCCGGAGAAGACAAAGGGCCGCGCCAUUUGAUCUCUGCUGCCAGCGUCACAGAGUUGCAGAAAAUGCUAGGACGCCGGUGCUCUCCCAUCACCCCACUCCCAGCACCAAGUCACUUGGAUGGUCUUCCAGCAAGGAAGCAAUGGUUGGAGAAGAGGCAGAGGUUUCUACGGACAGAGCUUGAACAACUCCUCCGCGGCUACGCCGAUCAGCACCCAUGGGAACCAACAUUUGAGCUGGAAAUCAUCUGCGGCGUGGCGAAAGAGAGCGCCUAUCUCUCCUCCCAUUGCUACCACAUCAACUUCCUCGCCGCGGCAUCCGACGGCACGCGAAUGCUCUUCUUCGCUCAGGUUUGGGAGGAGAAGAGACCCAACAACACCGAGCAGUGCUUCAGUCUCUGGGUUCGUUACCACGACAGAGAAUCGGAGGUCUCCUUCUGCUGUCCCCUGCCUUACUACAGCCCAAAUGAUGCAUAUCUUGGGCGGUGCACCAUUUGCGAGUUUGGCAUGAGUAAAAUUGUGCAUCCACCUGUUGGCCUGCAUAUCGGAGCGACGCACACUGAUUUUGGAAAGACACGUCCGCUUGGCUCAAAUUUGAAGGUGUCCUCUCGUGCGGACGGCAUCGUAGACACGGUGAUGACCCAGAACAAAUGCGCUUAA
rnacentral:rRNA from 1 species